UCAUCCUGCAACAGUAAUGGAUCGUUGCAUAGUUCCAUGAAUAUUACAAUGUAGCAGAAUUAUUUAUCAUAUAUUUUUUUACAAUUCUCACGUUUAUCAAGUGAAACUCGGCUUCUGCGAAGAUUCCCUGCGAUUCCCAGAUUUGUGGAAACCGCCAAGCGGUAAAAGAAACGUUUCGCGUCCCUGAUUUUACGUUCUUUCAAUGGAAACGAAAGUGCGAGAUCGCCACGCACUGUGAAAACGCGAGUUACGAGUCAAGAGUCAAUGGCAAAAGGCAAAAAAAAGGGAAGAAAAGAGCCAGAAUGCUGAACUACGGAACAAUCGCGAUGCAGCUCAAGAGCACGUCGAGAUUUCGCAGCCAAUGUAAGGUACAGAUUAAACGUACCACGAAUCCGUGACAUGAGCAAGAAAAUGGAUAUAGUAGAAAGAUUCAUGCACAAAUAACUUUAAAUAUAACAAAUAUUACCAAUCGAUA